rnacentral:misc_RNA from 1 species
AAGUCGUAACAAGGUAACCGUAGGUGAACCUGCGGUUGGAUCAUUAAAAAAAUUUGAAGUUAGACUUCAUAAAAACACAAAGCCUCUUCGGAGGCCGAGUAAACCCCUUGUGAAUUGUACUGCUUCACGGCAGAUUGUAAACUAAAUAAGACUGAAUCAAUGAGAUAAAAUUAAAAAACAACUUUUAACAACGGAUCUCUUGGCUCUC